UGGGGGCAGGGCAGCCCCACGCCCGUGCUGCACGUGGGCUGGGCCACCUUCCUCGUGCAGUCCCUGGGCCGCUUCGAUGGCCAGGUGCGCCAGCAGGUGACCCUCCUCUCCGAAGACCCCACCCCC